ensembl:rRNA 5S_rRNA 5S ribosomal RNA
GUCUAUGGCCAUACCACCCUGAACAAGCCCAGUCUCUUCUGCAAUCAGAAGCUCAACAGGGUCAGGCCUGGUUAGUACUGGGAUGGGAAACGAAUAUACUUGAGUUGGAGGGAAGAAGAGAUAUGGUUA